rnacentral:rRNA from 1 species
GGCGUAAAGCGAGCGUAGGUGGCUCGAUAAGUCAGAUGUGAAAUCCCGGGCUUAACCUGGGAACUGCAUCUGAAACUGUUAGGCUAGAGUAGGUGAGAGGGAAGUAGAAUUUCAGGUGUAGCGGUGAAAUGCGUAGAGAUCUGAAGGAAUACCGAUGGCGAAGGCAGCUUCCUGGCAUCAUACUGACACUGAGGCUCGAAAGCGUGGGUAGCAAACAGGAUUAGAUACCCUGGUAGUCCACGCCGUAAACGAUGUCUACUAGUCGUUGGGUCCCUUGAGGACUUAGUGACGCAGCUAACGCAAUAAGUAGACCGCCUGGGGAGUACGGCCGCAAGGUUAAAACUCAAAUGAAUUGACGGGGGCCCGCACAAGCGGUGGAGCAUGUGGUUUAAUUCGAUGCAACGCGAAGAACCUUACCUGGUCUUGACAUAUCUAGAAUCCUGCAGAGAUGCGGGAGUGCCUUCGGGAAUUAGAAUACAGGUGCUGCAUGGCUGUCGUCAGCUCGUGUCGUGAGAUGUUGGGUUAAGUCCCGCAACGAGCGCAACCCUUGUCCUUAGUUACCAGCGGGUUAAGCCGGGAACUCUAAGGAUACUGCCAGUGACAAACUGGAGGAAGGCGGGGACGACGUCAAGUCAUCAUGGCCCUUACGACCAGGGCUACACACGUGCUACAAUGGUAGGUACAGAGGGCAGCUACACAGCGAUGUGAUGCGAAUCUCAAAAAGCCUAUCGUAGUCCAGAUUGGAGUCUGCAACUCGACUCCAUGAAGUAGGAAUCGCUAGUAAUCGCGGAUCAGAAUGCCGCGGUGAAUACGUU